rnacentral:rRNA from 1 species
GACGAACGCUGGCGGCGUGCUUAACACAUGCCAGUCGAACGGAAAGGCCCUGCUUUUGUGGGAUGCUCGAGUGGCGAACGGGUGAGUAACACGUGAGUAACCUGCCCUUGACUUUGGGAUAACUUCAGGAAACUGGGGCUAAAACCGGAUAGGAGCUCCUGCUGCAUUGUGUGGGUUGGAAAGUUUCGGCGGUUGGGGAUGGACUCGCGGCUUAUCAGCUUGUUGGUGGGGUAGUGGCUUACCAAGGCUUUGACGGGUAGCCGGCCUGAGAGGGUGACCGGCCACAUUGGGACUGAGAUACGGCCCAGACUCCUACGGGAGGCAGCAGUGGGGAAUAUUGCACAAUGGGCGGAAGCCUGAUGCAGCAACGCCGCGUGCGGGAUGACGGCCUUCGGGUUGUAAACCGCUUUCGCCUGUGACGAAGCGUGAGUGACGGUAAUGGGUAAAGAAGCACCGGCUAACUACGUG